rnacentral:rRNA from 1 species
UACAGAGGUCUCAAGCGUUGUUCGGAUUUAUUGGGCGUAAAGGGCUCGUAGGCGGUUUGUCGCGUCGGGAGUGAAAACGCACAGCUUAACUGUGUGCUUGCUUUCGAUACGGGCAGACUAGAGGCAUGCAGGGGAGAACGGAAUUCCUGGUGUAGCGGUGAAAUGCGCAGAUAUCAGGAGGAACACCGGUGGCGAAGGCGGUUCUCUGGGCAUGUCCUGACGCUGAGGAGCGAAAGUGUGGGGAGCGAACAGG